CAGCCGCCGCGGUAAGACGAACCGUGCGAACGUUAUUCGGAAUUACUGGGCUUAAGGCGCGUGUAGGCGGGCCGCCACGUCGGUCGCUGAAAUCCCCCGGCUCAACCGGGGAAGUGGCAUCGAUACGAGCGGCCUUGAGGGGGGUAGGGGGAUCUGGAACUUCCGGUGGAGCGGUGAAAUGCGUUGAGAUCGGAAGGAACGCCCGUGGCGAAAGCGAGGUCCUGGACCCUUUCUGACGCUGAGACGCGAAAGCCAGGGGAGCGAACGGGAUUAGAUACCCCCGUAGUCCCUGUCUCUUAUA
rnacentral:rRNA from 1 species